UCAAGUAGACGGGUAAUCUCGUCAGGAAUCUCUUCAUCAUCAUCUUCUUCCGCCUUAAAUAUAGGGAAUUCAAAGUUGGGAGAUGGUGUUGGGUCAUUAUGUUCAAUGGGUUUGAUUAUCCUGCAUAAUGAUUUUGGAUAUAAAGAGCUUUUAUUCUAUUAUCCUGCAUAAUGUUCAAUGGGUCAUUAUGUUCAAUGUUCAAUGGAUUUUGAAUUCAAACAAGGCAAAUCAUUAUGCAAAUGAGAAGAUCGAUU
rnacentral:lncRNA from 1 species